rnacentral:rRNA from 1 species
AUGAACGCUGGCGGCGUGCUUAACACCUGCAGGUCGAACGGAAAGGCUCCUGCUUGCAGGGGUACUCGAGUGGCGAACGGGUGAGUAACACGUGGGUGAUCUGCCCUGCACUUCGGGAUAAGCCUGGGAAACUGGGUCUAAUACCGGAUAGGACGAUGGUUUGGAUGCCAUUGUGGAAAGUUUUUUCGGUGUGGGAUGAGCUCGCGGCCUAUCAGCUUGUUGGUGGGGUAAUGGCCUACCAAGGCGUCGACGGGUAGCCGGCCUGAGAGGGUGUACGGCCACAUUGGGACUGAGAUACGGCCCAGACUCCUACGGGAGGCAGCAGUGGGGAAUAUUGCACAAUGGGCGCAAGCCUGAUGCAGCGACGCCGCGUGGGGGAUGACGGCCUUCGGGUUGUAAACUCCUUUCGCUAGGGACGAAGCGCAAGUGACGGUACCUGGAGAAGAAGCACCGGCUAACUACGUG